rnacentral:rRNA from 1 species
AAACCAGCACCUCAAGUGGUCAGGAUGAUUAUUGGGCCUAAAGCAUCCGUAGCCUGCUCUGUAAGUUUUCGGUUAAAUCUGUACGCUCAACGUACAGGCUGUCGGGAAUACUGCAGAGCUAGGGAGUGGGAGAGGUAGACGGUACUCGGGAGGAAGUGGUAAAAUGCUUUGAUCUCUCGAUGACCACCUGUAGCGAAGGCGGUCUACCAGAACACGUCCGACGGUGAGGGAUGAAAGCUGGGGGAGCAAACCGGAUUAGAAACCCGGGUAGUCC